rnacentral:rRNA from 1 species
CCUACGGGAGGCAGCAGUGGGGAAUAUUGCACAAUGGGCGCAAGCCUGAUGCAGCCAUGCCGCGUGUGUGAAGAAGGCCUUCGGGUUGUAAAGCACUUUCAGCGGGGAGGAAGGCGUUAAGGUUAAUAACCUUGGCGAUUGACGUUACCCGCAGAAGGAGCACCGGCUAACUCCGUGCCAGCAGCCGCGGUAAUACGGAGGGUGCAAGCGUUAAUCGGAAUUACUGGGCGUAAAGCGCACGCAGGCGGUCUGUCAAGUCGGAUGUGAAAUCCCCGGGCUCAACCUGGGAACUGCAUUCGAAACUGGCAGGCUAGAGUCUUGUAGAGGGGGGUAGAAUUCCAGGUGUAGCGGUGAAAUGCGUAGAGAUCUGGAGGAAUACCGGUGGCGAAGGCGGCCCCCUGGACAAAGACUGACGCUCAGGUGCGAAAGCGUGGGGAGCAAACAGGAUUAGAUACCCUAGUAGUC